rnacentral:rRNA from 1 species
GACGAGUGGCGGACGGGUGAGUAAUGUCUGGGAAACUGCCUGAUGGAGGGGGAUAACUACUGGAAACGGUAGCUAAUACCGCAUAACGUCGCAAGACCAAAGAGGGGGACCCUCGGGCCUCUUGCCAUCGGAUGUGCCCAGAUGGGAUUAGCUUGUUGGUGGGGUAACGGCUCACCAAGGCGACGAUCCCUAGCUGGUCUGAGAGGAUGACCAGCCACACUGG